UUAAACAUGGCAGUGAGGACGUCUGCAUCGAUGCGGAGACCUUCCCCUGUGAGUGCCACCCGUCUCUGGAAAGCACAGGGAGAUGGAUUACACAGUCAAAAAAAAAAUUCAAUGUGCAGCCUCGCCACUGCAUUUUGACAUUCUUUUAAUUUCUGCUAUUUUAAUUUCUUUCUUUUUUCAGUCUCUGCCAGUUGAAUUGACAGCCAAAAUCGAGGGGGACGUCAUUGUGAGGGACUGCUGGGGGCAUUUAUAUUGUGAGGAAAUUCUUGGACUGGCGCAAGAUGUGCCAAAGCUUUUGCCUAAAAGAAUGGAUGUCAAGAAGGUAAAGCAGCGCUUUGGAGGCUGUAAUGAUGAUGAUGGACGGCCUAACCCUUUCAUUAUUUGCAAAGAUUUUUAAAUGUCAAAAAAAAAAAAAACACACAUGAAAAUGUAGUUUGUACAAGAGAUAUUUCUAGGGUUCUAGUUCUAUUUCGAGGGUCAUAGUUCUAACCAUAAACGAUGCCGACCUGCGAUCCGGCGGCAUUAUUCCUAUUAAAUGUAAAUCAAUGUUGUUAAUCAAUCAUCAGUUUGUAUCAUGGUAAAAUUCACAGCUUGAUCCUCAGAGUGAUCUGCAUACUCGACGUUGUAUCCUUUUUAUGCGGGCCACUGCUCUGUCACCCACUCUGUCACUGGUGCUCAGCCACUCUGCAUCCUGGAAAAUAUUGAAAAGAUGUUAUUUACUAAGGCAUACGUGUGCAAAUAUUAAAGCAUAUCACAAGUGUAAACUCGUUAAAAUAGAUGAACGUACCGUCAAACCUAAAUACAUUAUGGAAACUCUUUAUUUAACAGUCUCUUUGUUACACAUGCUACAUGUACUUAGAACCUAGUAAUGACUGUAAAUAAAGCAAAAUCAAAUGUAAAUAAACCUCAACCAAAUCCUA